AGAGUUUGAGUCCUGGCUCAGAGUUAACGCUGGCAUCGUGCAUAACACAUGCAAGUCGAACGGGACUUCAUUUUGUAGCAAUACAAGAUGAAGUUUAGUGGCAGACGGGUGAGUAAUGUAUAAGAAACCUACCUCUGAGUGGGGAAUAACAGUCCGAAAGGAUUGCUAAUACCCCAUAACAUUAUUAAGUGGCAUCACUUAGUAAUCAAAGAUUUAUCGCUUGGAGACGGUCUUAUAUUCUAUCAGCUAGUUGGCAGUGUAACGGACUACCAAGGCUACGACGGAUAGCCGGCCUGAAAGGGCGACCGGCCACAAGGGCACUGAGACACGGGGCCCUACUCCUACGGGAGGCAGCAGUGGGGAAUUUUGGACAAUGGGCGAAAGCCUGAUCCAGCAACGAUGCGUGGAGGAUGAAGGUUCUCGGAUUGUAAACUCCUUUUGUGAGGGAAGAAAAAAUGACGGUACCUCACGAAUAAGCCACGGCUAACUACGUGCC
rnacentral:rRNA from 1 species